rnacentral:lncRNA from 1 species
CGGGGCCAGGUGGGUGUGAUGGGCAGACACGAUGCUCAGGAUGAAGGCCGGGGCACAGAGGCUGUGGACAUAGCCGAACUCCUCCCUUUUCCCAGCCUCGCUGUCUCGGGUGACCUGGGACCGGAGGCCCCUGCCCAGCGGUGCUGGCACACAUGGCGUCUGACUUUGUGCUCCACACCCAUCGGGGUGAGGCCAGCUGGCUGCAGGGGCCGUGCCAAGCCACGGAAGGGGGUGCAGACAGCAGGGGAUGGUGCCCAGGGUGACACAGCUCGGGCAGGCUCAGCCCUGGUGGGCAGCCAGAGGCUGGAGAGAACCGACAGAGUGGACCGAGCUGGUCCCAGGACGGGCUGGUGCCUCCCAAACAGACCGGGAGAGCUCAGCGCAGGAGGCCAACAUCCUGACCCCAGCUCUGCUCUCCAGACUUGCGGUGUGACCUUGGGCAGGUUCUGUGAGCCUCAGUUUCCCCCAUUUGGCCUGGAAGCUCAGCUGCUCUUCCCAGCCCAGUCCCACCCCAUGGCACAUAUUUCUUGGCCCUUGUUUGGUGUCCAGGGUAGGAGAGGUGGGGCCCUGGGAUUGGGUGUGGACAACCUCCCUGACCCCCAGCAGCCUCACACUCCCUGCCCCCGAAGCCCAUGCUGGCCCCACCCCUUGAAGCCAUGUGCCCCCUCAAUAGCACUCCACCCCUCCUCACCGUUCCUCCAACAGCCAGGAAUGCCCCCCACGCCAUGCCUGAGAGACCCUCACCCAAGGCCAGGCCUCGGCUGAGGGUCAUGUCAUCAGAGCAGCCGCUCAGGUCACCCAGAAGGCCCUAAGUGCCCACCCUUCUCUCUCAGGCCAGGGCCUUGGAGCUGGGAUUGAGCCAGGCAGGACUCGGGGGCCUGUGGGUCUCACCCAAUGCCCUCCUCUGCCAAAGGGCAGAAGGCACAGAGUGGGGUGGAGGCCGGCCUGAGGUCACACAGCACACAGUGGCAGACCCUGACCGCAGGUGGGAGCCAGAUCCCGACUGCAGGUCCAGUUCUCAGCCAUGCCGUCCUUCCCCAGUGCCAUG